GCCCAGCUAGCUCAGUCAGUGGAGCAUGACACUUUUAAUCUUUGGGUCGUGGGUUUGGGCUCCACGUUGGGCU
rfam:Ixodes scapularis strain Wikel colony gcontig_1107728966534, whole genome shotgun sequence.